CCUCCCUUUCGCCUACCACGAAAUUCACUGGGUUUCGACUUCGUCUCCUCAUCGUCGAAACGGCCUUUCACUCCAAUUGGUUAUUUUUCUGAGGAACAAGGUUUCGGAACAAGGUUUUAGCCAUGAGGAUCCAUUGCAGUCUCUGCCAAACUGGCUUCCCGACGGGGAUGAAAAGAAAUAAGAGUUCGAGUAGGCCGUAGUGGUUAUCUUAUUAUCCGUUGAUUGGCUUAUCGCAGACAAUUUUUUAAUUUUAAAUAUUACUUUUGAGUUAAUUUUUGAGAAUUUGUAUUGCUGUUUGUAUUUCAAUCUUGUCUUUUAGACUACCGAGGAUAUCCUCAAUGUAUAUGUAACAAUAAGCAAUAGUGGUAGGGCCUAGUGCAGGAAGCACUAACUAUGGUAAACUUCACAAUGGUAAAAGAUUAUUAG
rnacentral:sRNA from 1 species